GGGUGAGUAACGCGUAUCCAACCUGCCCACCACUUGGGGAUAACCUUGCGAAAGUAAGACUAAUACCCAAUGAGAUCUCUAGAAGACAUCUGAAAGAGAUUAAAGAUUUAUCGGUGAUGGAUGGGGAUGCGUCUGAUUAGCUUGUUGGCGGGGUAACGGCCCACCAAGGCAACGAUCAGUAGGGGUUCUGAGAGGAAGGUCCCCCACAUUGGAACUGAGACACGGUCCAAACUCCUACGGGAGGCAGCAGUGAGGAAUAUUGGUCAAUGGACGAGAGUCUGAACCAGCCAAGUAGCGUGCAGGAAGACGGCCCUAUGGGUUGUAAACUGCUUUUAUAAGGGAAUAAAGUUAGUCUCGUGAGACUUUUUGCAUGUACCUUAUGAAUAAGGACCGGCUAAUUCCGUGCCAGCAGCCGCGGUAAUACGGAAGGUCCGGGCGUUAUCCGGAUUUAUUGGGUUUAAAGGGAGCGUAGGCCGGAGAUUAAGCGUGUUGUGAAAUGUAGACGCUCAACGUCUGCACUGCAGCGCGAACUGGUUUCCUUGAGUACGCACAAAGUGGGCGGAAUUCGUGGUGUAGCGGUGAAAUGCUUAGAUAUCACGAAGAACUCCGAUUGCGAAGGCAGCUCACUGGAGCGCAACUGACGCUGAAGCUCGAAAGUGCGGGUAUCGAACAGGAUUAGAUACCCUGGUAGUCCGCACGGUAAACGAUGGAUGCCCGCUGUUGGUCUGAAUAGGUCAGCGGCCAAG
rnacentral:rRNA from 1 species